rnacentral:rRNA from 1 species
CAUGCAGUCGAGGGGUAUUGUUCUUCGGAAUGAGAGACCGGCGCACGGGUGCGUAACGCGUAUGCAAUCUACCUUUUACAGAGGGAUAGCCCAGAGAAAUUUGGAUUAAUACCUCAUAGCAUUGCAGGAUGGCAUCAUCCAGCAAUUAAAGUCACAACGGUAAAAGAUGAGCAUGCGUCCCAUUAGCUAGUUGGUAAGGUAACGGCUUACCAAGGCUACGAUGGGUAGGGGUCCUGAGAGGGAGAUCCCCCACACUGGUACUGAGACACGGACCAGACUCCUACGGGAGGCAGCAGUGAGGAAUAUUGGACAAUGGGCGCAAGCCUGAUCCAGCCAUGCCGCGUGCAGGAUGACGGUCCUAUGGAUUGUAAACUGCUUUUGCACAGGAAGAAACAACGCUACGUGUAGCGUCUUGACGGUACUGUGAGAAUAAGGAUCGGCUAACUCCGUGCCAGCAGCCGCGGUAAUACGGAGGAUCCAAGCGUUAUCCGGAAUCAUUGGGUUUAAAGGGUCCGUAGGCGGUUUAGUAAGUCAGUGGUGAAAGCCCAUCGCUCAACGGUGGAACGGCCAUUGAUACUGCUAGACUUGAAUUAUUA